GUCGAGCGGAAAGGCUCCUUCGGGGGUACUCGAGCGGCGAACGGGUGAGUAACACGUGAGUAAUCUGCCCUUGGCUUCGGGAUAGCCACCGGAAACGGUGAUUAAUACCGGAUACGACACAUCACUGCAUGGUGCGUGUGUGGAAAGUUUUUUCGGCCAGGGAUGUGCUCGCGGCCUAUCAGCUUGUUGGUGGGGUAAUGGCCUACCAAGGCUUCGACGGGUAGCCGGCCUGAGAGGGUGACCGGCCACACUGGGACUGAGACACGGCCCAGACUCCUACGGGAGGCAGCAGUGGGGAAUAUUGGACAAUGGGCGGAAGCCUGAUCCAGCAACGCCGCGUGAGGGAUGACGGCCUUCGGGUUGUAAACCUCUUUCAGCACAGACGAAGCGCAAGUGACGGUAUGUGCAGAAGAAGGACCGGCCAACUACGUGCCAGCAGCCGCGGUAAUACGUAGGGUCCGAGCGUUGUCCGGAAUUAUUGGGCGUAAAGGGCUCGUAGGCGGUUUGUCGCGUCGGGAGUGAAAACACCGGGCUUAACUCGGUGCUUGCUUUCGAUACGGGCAGACUAGAGGCAUUCAGGGGAGAACGGAAUUCCUGGUGUAGCGGUGAAAUGCGCAGAUAUCAGG
rnacentral:rRNA from 1 species